UCAUGACCUGGCGUGUGACCGUGCAUAUCGUGUGACUGAGUGAUUUGGAUGUGGUUUUGGCGUGUGGGAAGAGGGGAACGUGCCCGAGGUUGGUUGGCUCGACACGGUGUAUUGCAUGGGAGGCCGGAGUACGGGUGAUCCGAGAGAGGAUAUAGGUCGCGUCUGAGAGCGGCUAGAGCCGUCUCUCAUUCCGAUCCUAGGCGAGAUAGUCUUUGACCGUUCUAUAUGAGGGACCCGUCCUAGUGGACGUUAAACUCUGAGGCAACAUGUAAGCCGGAACGUGAUCGUCUUGCGCCACCCUCUCGCUCGCUACGCAUGCGCACCCGGCCGCCUACACCGUGGCCAACACGGCCAGUUGCAGAGGCCGACAUAACAGAUCUGCAAACAUCGGAAUGAGAGACCCGGGAGACGUUCCGCCAUCGCCGACCACCAUGAUCAGUCGCUCUUUGCUCUGGCCGAUCUGCCUAGACCAUGGAGCUAUGUUCGGACCUAUCUGACUGUGAUCGAUAUUAUCCUGAGCAGAUCGCGACUACUAGCGAGCGGAGUAGACGGCCGCUGGCGCUCUUAUCAUUCUAACGGAAGAAUGCCCACAGAGCGUUGGGGAGUUUAAGCCAGCUUGAGGACGGAGAUCGCCAUGAUGCGGACGUUGCCGAGUGCCGGAGCGAAACGCCGCGGUGGAGAGCAUCUGCAAAAUGCGAGAACUCGCACAGUCGAAGGUGUUGACGAGUUCUGUAGGUUCAUACAUGGCAGUCGUUGAAGUUGCGUUUGUCGUGCUCAUGUCUUUCAGUGUUUGAGACGCACAUGUUGCAUCGAUGUUGGAGGCGCUGUAUGCCCCAGCUCGCCCAGGAGCUCAUAGGAGUGGUGCCCUGAAUGCCCUGAGGCUCAUUUGGUUGUGUUAUGUCUGAGGUUCGCCAUUAGCCGCCGUGAACGGAGCGACAGGCUCAACGCGCAUGGCUAUCACGCCCGCGAGCCCUCUCCAUUGCGGUUCACACCAAGGCAGUGUAGGCAUGGUUUGUGAGACUUUCAGACGCAUGACUGCACUGAGACAGACGUACACGCACGCAGACUGGCAAUAUGCAUACGGCACACCCUGCACAGGCCCAGACGUUGCAGACGAGCGCCGCAUUGACAUUGCGCCGCACGCUGGGGGGGGAGUCGCCGUCAGGCACACGAAACGUUCAUUGUCCUAUCAUAGGGCGCGACAGCUGUCAUGACCUGGCGUGUGACCGUGCAUAUCGUGUGACUGAGUGAUUUGGAUGUGGUUUUGGCGUGUGGGAAGAGGGGAACGUGCCCGAGGUUGGUUGGCUCGACACGGUGUAUUGCAUGGGAGGCCGGAGUACGGGUGAUCCGAGAGAGGAUAUAGGUCGCGUCUGAGAGCGGCUAGAGCCGUCUCUCAUUCCGAUCCUAGGCGAGAUAGUCUUUGACCGUUCUAUAUGAGGGACCCGUCCUAGUGGACGUUAAACUCUGAGGCAACAUGUAAGCCGGAACGUGAUCGUCUUGCGCCACCCUCUCGCUCGCUACGCAUGCGCACCCGGCCGCCUACACCGUGGCCAACACGGCCAGUUGCAGAGGCCGACAUAACAGAUCUGCAAACAUCAGUCGCCGUCAGGCACACGAAACGUUCAUUGUCCUAUCAUAGGGCGCGACAGCGUUGGGGAUGCCGGCGGCCGUCAUGACGCUGGUGGCCGGGCAGGAUGUGGGCGCGACGCAGCUGGCGAUGUUAGGCAGAGGAGGAGCGGGCGAGGGGGGCAUAGGCGAGGGCGGGAGCGGGCUGGGCGGGGCGGGCGAGGGCGGGGCGGGCGAGGGAGGGGCGGGCGAGGGAGGGGCGGGGCUGGGAGGCGCGGGAGACGGCGGCUCGGGCGAGGCAGGGGCGGGCGAGGGAGGAGCGGGGCUGGGAGGCGCGGGAGACGGCGGCUCGGGCGACGGGGGCUCCGGUGAGGGAGGGGCGGGGCUGGGAGGCGCGGGCGACGGCGGCUCGGGCGACGGGGGCUCCGGUGAGGGAGGGGCGGGGCUGGGAGGCUCGGGCGACGGAGGCUCAGGCGACGGAGGCGCAGGCGAGGGAGGGGCGGGCGAGGGAGGCUCGGGCGACGGGGGCUCGGGUGAGGGAGGUGCGGGGCUGGGAGGCGCGGGAGACGGCGGCUCAGGCGAGGGCGGGGCGGGGCUGGGAGGCGCGGGAGAGGGAGGCUCAGGCGAGGGCGGGGCGGGCGAGGGAGGCGCGGGCGAGGGAGGCGCGGGAGAGGGAGGCGCGGGAGAGGGAGGCGCGGGAGAGGGAGGGGCGGGAGAGGGAGGGGCGGGAGAGGGCGGGCUGCUCGCGGAGCAGUCGACAUUGUAGAUGUGCUCGCUGUGAGGGGUGCAGGUGGGGCAGGCGGGGCAGGACCCUAAGAGCAGUGUUUAUUGGAAGGGAGAGCAAGGCAGGAUGCCAGCCACACAUCCGCAGUGAUGGAUGGAGGCACGAGGGCAUAUAUAUGCAAGGCAUGAGCGAUCCAGUUGCAGCAGGCCUAAGUAAGCCUGCUUUCACACAUGCGGCGUCAGGUGAUGACUGACCCAUGCCCCAAUGCGCGCGUUAUGACGAGGCGGGGCGCCGCGCACUUGAACCUAUAGCUAGCUGGCAGCCCGCAGCAGUCUACAUGCAAGGAACAGCAGGAACCCUCGCUCACCAGACGGUGCAGCCAGAGUUGCCAGCGUAGCAGCCGUUGCCUCCAUUGGUCAGCGGGCACUGUGCGGGUGCGUGUUUGCAAAGGCGGGCGGGCAAAAGCGAGGCAAAGAAACGUUAUGACAGGAGUGUCCACCCUCCAGCCACCGUCACAUUGCGUGUCACGUGCCCGCCCAGCAAGCACUACACUCAAGCGAGCUACGCAGCAGCCCCGCCCGCGGGGAGGUAGAGGGAUACGUACAAUGAGAGUCCGGACCCCAUGCCACCGUGGGGCAUGUGCGGACAUGCUGUCCGCUGCUGACCAGAUACUUGCGCAUACACAUGACACACGCACAUGCACACCCAACCAUCCAUCAUCCACGCACGCACGCGCGCACGCACAUUGCUGGUUCCUUGGCCGCUCAAGCCGCCGAGGGGGAAGCCCGUGCGGGCACUGCCAAACCAGCCGUCGUGCACUUGGACGCCUACUUGCGUGACGCCGGCAUCCAGCGUCCACGACGCAACCGAGGCGCCGCUGUCGCAGUACGUGCCGCCGGGGCUCUUAAACGUCGCGGCGCCGGGGCUGCACUGAGCGUUGGUCUGAGUGCCGCAGGCUGCGCCGCCGGCCUUGAGGCAGGCAGCCCUGCAUGAGGCAGCGGUUUAUGGAACACGCGAUAGUUUGGAACGGGUCGGAAAAGGCGCUUGACAGGGCAUGGGCAACGAGGGGUGUGCGUGGGCGCGCGGGCGACGCACCAGGAGUAACCGCCUGCGUCCUUGCAGAUAGCGCCCCCGUUGCUCAGGGUGAGGGUCACGACGUUGCCGGAGCAGGUGAAGGUGGCGCACUGGGCGAAGAAAGCGUUACAGUAGUCGGACGGCUGCUGCGUAGAGCACACGUCAGCAGUCGGCAGCUGGCGCCGAGGGCCGACCGUGGCCAUCGUUUUGCGGGCAUGGGCUGCUGUCGCGGCGCUCAGCGCCAACAGCGCAGUCACCACUGCGAGCGCCUUAGCGCUCGCUGUAUGGCGAGCCAUCUUCCGAAAGCUGCGGACCGCAAGCAAGCGAGCUGAGGAGAAAGGUGAAGGGAGCUAGCAGCAGCAACAGUAAUGCGCGCGCUCUCGAAUAAUGGUGUGUGGAAAGUGACGUUGCGGGUGCUGGGGUGGGCGCCGGCGGGAAUACGCGGCUGCUCCUAACCACUAUACCCUGGAAUUGUGCAAGGAGCCCAUAAAUAGCCUCCAUCCGCCUCCCCCCAGCCCCUGUCGCGUUGGCCGCGGGCCGUGGGCCGUUGCACCGCCAAGCGUCACGACACGGUCGGCCGGCGGCCUGUUGCACUUUUCUGCCGUAAAACAAAACGACGCUGUGCCAUUUUCUACACUAAUGUCGCAUAUGCAUCAGUCGCAGAUUGAAUGAACCUUGUCAUCAAUCCCCAGCAGAACACGACGUUGCCCAAAUGUCGUGUUCUGGAGUAAAAGCCCAACAGCUCGGCUGCGGCGGUUGGUCGGCAAAAGGGGCCCAGUCCACGAACCCCGCGAAACCCUCGCUCGCCACCCCGCGGUUUCGCCCGAAACCCUUGCGGCGCCAAGCAACUUUGUGUCUGAUUAGUAGCGAAGGCACCCGCCGUACAAUAAACGCUUGCACCCCUGGCAAGGCAGCACGAUCAUGUCCUUGAGUGCUCCUGCAGCGCACCCGCCGCCGUGAGUGUCGCAUAGAUCUCAACGUUUUCCUCGCAGCAGCAAUUCAGUGGCACAGUACACGUACUCACCCCCGUGCAUGCGUGCCCGCCCGCCUUACAAUCGACCCUGCCGCCGCUGGGCGGCACGCACGCGGGCACGCCACACGCAUGCAUGCAUCCUUCCACUCACCCGACCAUGGUCCGCCGCAGAGGGCAGCCCCUACCUGGUAAUCAUCUGCGCCUGUGCGGCGCGUUCCCCCGGCAGCAGCCUGCUAGCUGCAGGCCAGGACCGAGCGUGUCUCGGCGGGCCCGGCCUCCAUGCAUGCACGCACGCACACCUUACUUCCUCAAGCAACCUGUGAUCAGUUCACUCAGCUCCACGGCUCCGGUGCAUCUCUCAUAUAAAGUGAACGCAUGCAGACGACCGAUAACGUGCGUGGCGCCGUGCGUGAGCCAGUGCUCGUAUCUUCCUUCUUUUCGACAGAAAUUCGCCCCAAACUUCUGUCACUUGUCCGGGCCCAAGGCAAGGGUGACUGAGGUUCUCCAGGAUAAUCUACGGCCGUGUCCUGCUGGCACCAUGCAUGGGGACACACCACGAUAGGCCAGGGUGAGUGAGCAUGAUGAGCGUGGGUUAGGGCGCUGGAGUUUGGCGCUGGAGUUUGGCGUGGGGAUGGGCCACGAUUUGCCAUGGAGCCAUGGAGCCGGUGCUUUUUUCAUGCGGCGAAUAUUUUGCUGUGCCGGAGCCGGGACGUAGGCUGGGGGCAACAGCAACCUCACCCCGCACGCUGUAACAAUGGCACAUCCCGUGCGGCGGAAUAUUUUGCUGUGCCGGAGCCGGGACGUAGGCUGGGGGCAACAGCAAUCAACCUCACCCCGCACGCUGUAACAGUGGCACAUCCCGUGCGGCGGAUUAUUUUGCUGUGCCGGAGCCGGGACGUAGGCUGGGGGCAACAGCAACCUCACCCCGCACGCUGUAACAAUGGCACAUCCCGUGCGGCAGAAUAAUUUGCUGUGCCGGAGCCGGGACGUAGGCUGGGGGCAACUGCAGCCGCAUUUGGCACGCUGCAACAAGGCAAGCCUGACACACCCCUGGCCUGACACGAAUCGCGCAUAGGUCGGGGGCGGAGCCCCCGGAAAAAUGUUGGGGAUGAAAGAUGCGGCGGCAGCGGGUUUCUGAAAAUUAAAGAUGCCUGUUUUCGGAAAUCUGUCGCUGGCGCCGCGCCUGCCUUCUUAAAAUACGAGCACUGGCGUGAGCACGAACAUGUCACCUCCACGCACGCACGAACUACCUUACGUACCGCACUUUCCCAGCAAGCGGCAAUUCCUGCCAUGCCAUACCCCACCAACUACCCCCACGCCCCGCCUCAUGUAUGCACGUACAUGUGCGUGUGCCACUGCCGGCAGGCUUGCUCGCAGCACGACAGUAUGAGCGCCUCAUUCGUGACAAGUGCUGACGUAGGCGCACGGCUGCCGUACGCGCGGAACCGCAACAGCACUCUGAAGUCAAACAGGCAGCAGUAGUGGAAACUGCAACAGCUUGCUGCUCUCCUCCGGAUGUCCAACGGUCCGAAUCGAGCUAGUGCCAAUCGAACGCGCGACGCUUUGUGCGUGACGAACGACAGCAUGUUGCAAAAAGGAGUUACAAUAGCUCCCGGGGAAGUCGUUAUUGGUCAAGCCGCCGUGUGACGUGUGAGGGUCAGACAACCGUUUUCCCCCGACUCCCGUACGGCUGCCCACCCUCCGCACUUUUUCGGAAACCCGGCCUGCCUCUUCUUGCAACUCAGCAGCAUUAGUGGACGACAUGCAGAGCGACAUGUUCGUGUUUGGCCUUUUGUGUGAUGGCCUUUUGGUCGUGUCUGAACGGCACCAUGCAUCCGUGGGUGCCACGGUGUGCGGCGGACACAAGGCGUCGUGGCUGUCGCGCUCAUUGCACUGAAGGGCAAAGCAGCGGGCGGGACGGGCGGGGCACCUGAGGAAAGUAUGUUGUGACUCGUGAACCCCGCCUAGUCAGCCUGCUGCCCGCCUUGCCAGCCAUGCCAGGUAGCAAGCAAGGCCCGCAAGCCGCCAUCUUCACUUCCUGUAGGCACGACGACGAUACCGACGACCGUUUGCGGCGUGCCAUCCGACUUCGUGAGGCUGCCGGCUCUGGCCAAAACACGCACAAGUGGCUGCUGGAUUGGGCCCACCAGCCGAAGAGAAAGGCUGAGAGGGCGGGGGAUUGAGCCUGGCUGUCCGUGGCAGGGGGCAAUGGGGUGCCUGCGGGAAGUUCCGGGUAUGGUGCCCGGGAAAAUGGUGCAUGCCCCUAAGAAGGCCCGGGGAAAGCUGUCUCAGCCUAAAUAAAAUUAAACCCACAACCCAUGAAGCGCAGAGGAGAUAAUGAUGAUGCAAAGGGAGAGGCAGAGGGCCAAGGCGUGCCUGCGGUGGGUGUCACAGAGCUACCACGCGAACACCCCACGGCGCAAACACGCACCACGCUCGGCGUGGGCCCAGGGAAUGAAGGCGCUCUCUCCUGCGCUGCUGGGCGGCCUUGCUUGGAUUGGCCACGGCUCCUUGCUCUUUGAACGGCCCGCAGAAAGCAUGGAGACGAGAGGCAGGGGCACCCCGAGAGAGAACUAACGAAACCUGGCAGGGUUAACGUUUGCCCACGUGCUCACUCGAGUUGGAGCAGACAGCAGCUAGCGCCGGUGUGCAUGUGCACACGCACACACGCUUGUAGGCGUUGUACAUGUUUCCCAUGGCAGCACGCUGAAAGCGGGGUCGUAAGCUUGUCCUGAUGACGCCGUGCUGACGAUGGUGGUUGCACGGCUUCCGUGCGGCACGGCAUUGCAGGAAAGCGCAACAGUGCAGACAGGUAAGGGGAUUUCAACGGUCCGCCGACAAUCCCCAAAUGGCCGAAACGGCCAUUUGACUGUAAAAUACCCCAACAUUGCUGUUCAACACGUUUAAAGGGCGCGCGCGCUCGUCGCUGCUGGUGAUUUUGAGCUUUGCUUGCGGCGGGGAGGUUCCCGUUUCCGACAGCAGCAGUUUCCGAACAACAAGCGACCAGGUCCCUAACAGUGCUGAAGAGGCUGCAAAUAUCACGCCAGGCGUUGAGAAAACCGGAUGCAGAGCAACAGGUACAAUAGGCUUCCUUGCGCGCGAUUGUCACAAAGCCCUUCGAAGCGACGGCACGACCUUGGGCACGACCAACAGCGUCGCAGCACGCCAGCCUCCAACGCCAGCUAGCCUCCUAUGCACGGGCAUCCGCACGCAGGUCCGCACGCAGUUCACCCGCUGCUGUGUGUCCGCCUACCUGUCGCUUCAGGUGCAAAUUCACACGUGCCAACUCGUUCUCUCUGCAGACCCACCUGUGCUGUACAUACGUACGUAGCGGCACAGCAGCCCGCUGGGCACCCGCCCUAAGCAGUACAACCUCGUGCAGGCUGGGCGGGCUCAAAGGCACAGCCCCAGCCAAAACGCAGAGUCACAGACUGUCACGUGAUGAACCAAUGCUCCCCCGUGCGAUGCCUUUUGUCAUUCAUUCAGCGCACAGCCGCAAGUUCUGCUGCACGUGCAGCCAGCCAGGCGGCACCUGGCACGCCUGGUUUGCCACUGUCCCAACUGCGGCCUUGUCCGCUGCAGCCGCGGUGUCAACCGGGCACAAGUCCAGUGCAGCUCUCCACUGCAUCACUGCACCGCACGCACCAACUACCCCACGCAGAGUCGCGGGCUCGGCGACAUCAACCACAGGUUCGCACCCACACACACACACACACACACACACACACACACACACACACACAGAAACCCCCCAAGCCUCCGCCAUCUACAUACACCUGCCAAGUACCGUACUGCUGCUAGUUGACCCGCCCCCGCUUCCGCGGCCUUGACAGAGCCGCGUCCUCGUCAUCACCGUUCGCUCGCGCCCUCAGCACUUGGGCGCCGCAGGCAUUGCACAGCAGCCUCAUGCCGCGCGCCCCCACCGCCUGGUUGAAGCGGCGCCACUUGGACGUCUCCACCUCGCCGCAGUACUCGCACUGCUGCGGCUGCGCCAGUUGCGCCGCCUCGCUCACCGUCUGCGUCUGCAUGUGUGCCUGCGCAAGCCGCAGCUGGGUCUGCUGCUGUGCCUGGUGAGACUGGUGCUUGAACUGCCCCGCCUGCCCGCCCGCCCCUGCCGCCGCCCCUGCCGCACUCGCCGCUGCCCCCGUCGCUGCAUCAGUCACGCCUCCGCCGCUGCCGGCAGCCGCCUCCGCCGUUGGCACCCAACCCAGUGUCAGGAGCGCCUGUGCCGCCGUGACGCCCUCCUCCUCAUCCUGCUUGGGCACCCGCCCCUCCACCUCCGGCUGGCCCGCCUCCUCCCCUUCCAUGUCCACGGACGACAGCCGUUCGCAGGCGCCUGCGUAGGCGCAAAAAACGCAUGAGUCAUGCAGCGGGGUCCUAAAUAAACAGGAGUGUUGAGAGUGUGGAGCACCGGGAAGGCGGAGCGACGGGGCAGCAGCGAGAAAACAAUGCUUUGAGGCAUGCAUGUUGGGGCAAGCAACAUGGAUGCAGCUCCUUGGCGCUGGCCAGUCGUGUGCUGCCCCAGUGGUGCCGAAUCCAGCCAUGUUGUCCUGAACCCGAACACACACCAGGCCCUUAUCUCACCUGCAUGGGUAGCUGCCGCGGCUUCCGCUUCUGCUGCUGUUUCAGCCGCUGCGUCUCGCGCCGCUGCUGUUGCCGCUGCCGAUCCCUGCUGCCCCGCUUGCGCCGCCUCUGCGACGGCCAUCGCACCCUGCAUCGCAGCCCCCGCUGCUCGCGGCAGCGACUGCCACAGUGCGGAGGCCUGCAGCCCCGCCUGUGACAGCCCUGCUGCAGCAGCCGCAGCUGCAGCACCGGCCGCUGCCGCGGCCGCGGCCCCAGAAGAUGUUGUGGGCGAGGGCGACGGCUGUGCCGCCUGCAGCGCCCCCGCCAGGUGUGACCUCACGCCCAGCAGGUGUGACCGGACGCUUUCCAGCUGCACCCGCAGGCCCGCCGCCUCCGCGCGCGCCGCCGCCGCUGCCGCCUGCGCCGCCGUCAGCGCCGCGUUGCGCUGUGCUAGCUCGGCGUCUCGCGCCGCCAGCGCCGCCAAGGCUUCGUUCAGCUGCACACGCAGCUCGGCCGCCUCCACCGCCGCUGCCGCCGCUGCAAAAACGUUGAUUGCCUCCACCUCCACCUCCGCCUCCGCCUCCGCGUCCGCGCUUGCGACCGCGUCCGCAUUUGCAUCCACAACCGUUUCCACAGCUUCCGCAGCAGCUGCAGCUUCCGCAGCGUCUACAGCCUCCUCCGACCCUAACCCCAACUCCAGCUCCAACCCUUCCGUGUGCACUGCUGCCUCGGCAUCGCACGGCGGCACGUCCUUCGUUACCGCUGGCGCGCCCGCCUCCGCCUCCUGUUCUGCCCGCCACUCCGAAGCCACACCUGAUGCCGCCGGCGGCGCCAUGGCGCCCGCCCACGUCCCAGGUAUGGCAGCGUGUGGCGCCUCGGGCACCAACGCCGCUGCCGGUUGGCCUGUCCGGCCGUCCCGGUCGUGUCCGUUCACGGUGCUGGCAGCUACCGCAGAGGGCGCUGUGGGCUGCAUCCUCAAUGCUGCUGCGGAGGACUUGCGGCCAUCACCGCUCGCACUCAGGUACUGCUAUUCCUACCCUGUUCGGCGGGAAAAGAACAGGCGGCCCGCCGACCGUGGAACCGCCACCGACAUGCCGUGCGUGCCAGCUUUGGGAGUUUCCGGGCAGGACCGGCAGUCUCGUGAUGCCGCAAGCACAAACUUCUAGUGAGCAAGUUCCAGCUGCGUUGUGGCCCCCGUGGCACGCGUCGGGCGGGAUGGUCCGCAGGAUUCGCGCAAGGAUCCCCACGCUGCCACCGCACCUCGAGCCUCGCUAGCAGGCGACCACGGUAUAAGAUGCUAACACGCCUUGGGUGGCAUGCCCAUGGGGACAAACGGAUGACAAAGCGGUUCAAAGGUGAUAAAUGGAGGCAUACUCUAACCGUGGAGCUUCUUGUACUGGUUAUGGCAAAUGCGUGCACAGGAAGCUCGCCAAGCGAAGAAUGGAGGAGCAUAAAUUGUGCUUAGCCGCGAGCGGCGGUCGUCGGCGCGAAGCCGGUCUUCGGGCAAAGCAAAGACGACUGGCGACAAGACUAGCUAGAGUAAUAUGCCGUAUGCGCUUUAUAAGGAACACGGUAAAACACGGCUGCCGAGGGCGCCAUUCGUGACCCCGCGAUCGCUCGGUCCCCGGCAGCCCGCUCGCUGCUCCAGACAGGUUGGGUCCACUGGCGCUUGAAGACGGAUCGCCGUCAACCCUGUCCGCCUGUCCACCACGCCCGUCGGCCUGUCGCUUCACUGUCUUUGACAGAUGUCCAGGCCUUGGGGGCAGUCGGGCACCAUUCCAAGCCAUGCCUGAGAGUCCUUCCUGUCCACUCCGUUGACGCCCAAUGGCCCCUGCCGGUGCUAAGCGCCCUGCAUCCCGCGCGGCGGCUCGAGCCAUAGCAGCUGAGCAGCUGAGCAACUGCUGCGCCCUCCCCUCCCCUGAGCCCAAGUGCCCCAGGUGGCCAGGUCCCAGGCGCAGUCGCCUGGCCUGGCGCCCAGGGCGGCCACUGGCGAGGCCGCAUGCACGAGCACAUUCGCGUCAUUAUAUGCAAAUGCGGCAGACAUGGCACGGGCCCAUGGCGCUGCCAUGCACACUGUCAGGACCCCUACGCCGCCCCCCUUUGCCCUGCCUCGCAAACACACUUCCGUACUCCCAGCCGCUGCCUCCCGAACAAACUUCCCCACCAGUAGCUUGAUGCGGCCUGACCCUGUUCCUCACACACAACAGCACAGCACCUGUGCCGGGUCUGUCUGUCUGCCUGUCUAAUAUCACUUGGCCCCCACGCGCCCCCUCUCUUCGAGCUAGCCCCCACCCUCACAAUCACCUGUUGCCGGCUGCAGCAGGCGGCUGAUGCAGCCGCCCACCCGCAGCGCCAACAACGGAAACGUCAGUUCCCCGCGUCAUCCCAACCGUACGUCCGUACAACGACAAAACCACAGACAUAGGCACAGAUAGCUCCCGUGUUUGCACGUGUGCGGCAGCGUUUGACUGGCCGCAUAAAAGGACUGGACGGUUGAUCUUGGUGCGACGGGAAGGCCUCUCCCAUCACUCCACCAGUUAACCUCGCAAAGCGGUCUUGCCAGGGCCUCUUCCUGCUGUUUAAGUUUUGGGGUUUAUUUAGGCGCCCAGGUUAUGUGUGAGGCAGGCUUCCGGGUUUCAUGCCAUCGGGCAGCCUCAUGACAUCCACACCCUCUCCGUCUUCAAUGCUUGUUCAGUGCAUGUCAAUCAAUCGGUGCCUUGAAUAUCACCUCCCCUCACACACAUAGACACACACGGCCCACACCCACACAGACACGCACACGCGACUUUGCCAACUUGCCUUACCACUGUCCCAUCACACACCCACACAGACACGCACACGCGGCAGUCUAGAAAUUAAAGCGUUUCAACAUUAUGUUCUGCUCGGUGGACGCCUAUAGCUAUAAAUAAUGCCAAUGGCUGGGAUGCUCCCCCCCAUGUGGAUGCCCCGUAUGCCCUCACAGCCCGCAACGCAAGCGGCAUUAGCGCAAGCCAUUGCCGCUGCACGGGGUUCCCUCCCGGCGACGCGCGUGCCGCCGCGCCGCAGGACCACACCGGCGGCCGGCGGCCGAGCCCGCCGCCAGCACCGCCUCCGCCGCCUUACAACGGAAUGUCGUUAAGCUCCUCUAGCUCCCGCUGCAGCCGCGCAUUCUCCGCCAGCAAGCGGUCAAUCUCAGCGUCCCGAGCCGCCAGCUGAUCCUGCAGACCGGCGGCGCCGCCGGCGCCGCCGCCGCCAGCGGCGGCGGCGCGGCCUGCCGCCGCCGCCUCCGCCGCCGCUGCCGCCGCCUCAGCAAGAUCCAACCGCCGCAUGGCUUCCGUCAGCGCCACCGUCAGCGCCGCCGCCUGGUCCUCGGACCCCUUCAGCUGCAGCUUCAGGCGUUGGACCUCCUUGGCACGUGCCGCCGCCGCCGCCGUCAGCUUCUGCAUCGCCGCCUCCGCCGCCUCCGCCCGCUUCUUCGCCGCAUCCAGCUCCUCCUGCAGCCGCGUGUUCUGGUUCUUCAUGUCUAGGAAGCGCGCCUUGAAGUCCGCAACCGACGGCCGAGCGCCGGCGGCGCCGGCGGCGCCGCCAGCGGCCGCGGAGCCAGGCGCGCCGUUGUUAAAGGACGCCGCUCGGGGCAUCCCGUCCAUGGAGGUGCUCGGCGAGGGCUCGGGGAAGCCGCCCCCGGCGCUGCCAGACGGCGGCGGCGCGCGGACCGCCGCCAUGCCUGGUAACGGCAGCACGGCGGCGGCGCCGCCGCCGCCGUGGGCCCGGCCUGACGACGGGAGGCGGGCGCCUGCCGAUGGAAACGACGGCAGCAGGCCGGCGGCGCCGUCCGCGGCGCCGGAGUGGGCACGCUGCGCCGUUAGCAGGGGGCUACCGGCGGGGCCGUCCGCCGGCAUCAUGGCGGCGGAGCGGCCGCGCUGCAUGGUGGUGGCCGCGUUGGCGGCGGCGGCCUCGGCGGCGGCGGCCGCCGCCGCCUCCCUAGCGGCCAGGGAGGCAGUGCGUUGCCGCUUGGCGGGCGGCGCGGCGGCGGUGGACCCGGGUCCGGUGCCGUCGGCUGCCGCCGCCGCUGCAGCCCCCAGGGCCUCCUUGGAGGCGCGCUUGUUGGAGACGGCACCUGCGCGGUGGUGGUGGUGGUGGUGGUGGUUUUGGUGGUGGCGAUGAGAGCUCAAGCGGCGGGUUGCUAGACGCACAGGCACGCAGCAGGCCGCACGCACGCACGGACUGGGGGUGUGCCCUCCCGUUCGCAGCGCUGGGCCCUGACUACCGAGAGCAGCGGGUUGCAGCACAACGCGCUACCGGCGUGCUCCCUUGAUGUGCCUUGGACCCGCGCCCCUCUCCCCAUCACCCGCGUGCCCUGUGCUGCCUAGGUGUACGACAACCCCCCCGGGACUCACGUUUCCGGCCGUUGGCGGGGACGGCCGGCUUCUCCUCCUCGUCUUCCUCGGGCUUGGGCUGCGGCACACAGCAAAACACACACGCGCGUGAACACGGGCACACACAGGUACACGGGC
rnacentral:lncRNA from 1 species